CAUGUAACCAGUGGCUACUGUUGAACUUGUCUAAGACCAUAUAUCCAUUUGUUCAUUCAGUAAAUAUUUAUUGAGUGCUAUCCAUGUAUAAGGCACAGUUUUAAGUCCUGGGUAUACUGUGGUGAAUAAGAGGCAAAAUGUCCUUGGCUUUACGGAGCUUGCAUUUUACAUGAUAGUUUGAGGGAUGCUUUCUGUGGUACCUUCACUGCUUUGCUAAUUCGAUGUGGUUUGUGAUCCAGCAGCAUCUCUGUCCUCUGAGAGUUUGGAAGAAAUGCCGAAUCUCAGGUCACAAACCACGUCAGCUGAAUGAGUUUGUUAAAGUGAUUUAGCAGGUCACAGGUGAUACAGAUAUCAGAUCUCAAGUGAUUUGAUUUCACAUUGAAGGCCUUAUUCAGAACACCAGUGAUAACUGGGUUUAGCAAAUGUCCUGAUGGAUUGUUCGGUAGGACUCUGAAGCCAACUUUGAAAGGCCUGGAAAUACUCAUCAUUUACGCAGAUACUUGUUAAAUGCCUGGCUUCUGCAGUAGAGAGUCAGCUUGUAUGGGAGCAGAGAGGGUGUCUUCCGUUUCUGUGUCUUUUCCAGCCGUGUAUUCCCAAAAACUUUACAGUGCCUGGUAAACAGUAGACACUCAAUAAAUGCUUGUUGUGUAUAUUAAUGAGCCUAUUCUGAAGUCAAAACUAGUUAAUUCCAAGCAGUUUCAGGCCAAGUAAUUUUCAGGGCAUCAGGUCGGGGCAUAGACGGCUCUUGGUGGACGUGGCAGCUCCAUGGGACUCUGGGACCUUGGUGGCUCCAGCUCUCUUCUCUGCCUUCCCGGGGUCGAGUCUUCAUCCUCGUGGCCUGAGCUGUCACAUUCACAUUCCACAAAGCAGGAUGGAGGAAGAACAGAAGAGGAUGCACGUUGUCGUUGUCAGUUGCUAAGUUGUGUCCGACCCCAUGGACUGCAGCACGCCAGGCUUCCCUGUCCUUCUUCAUCUCCCAGAGUUUGCUCAGACUCAUGUCCAUUGAAUCGGUGAUGCCGUCUAACCAUCUCAUCCUUUGUCACCCCCUUCUCCUGCCCUCAGCUCCAGUCCUUUUUGGACACCUCAGGAAAGGUACACAAGACUUCUCAUAUCAGCUAGAACUUCACUGCAGGGAGACUGGGAAAUGUACCCAUACUCUAGCUGUCUCAUGUGCCUUGCAAAAAUUGGGGGUUCUGUAACUGCAGAAG
ensembl:lncRNA